AUUUGAUCUCAAGGUUUAUUCACUAC
rnacentral:piRNA from 1 species